rnacentral:lncRNA from 1 species
CUCAAGAAACAAUUUCAGUAUUCUCAAAUCAUACAACAAUAUUCACUAUUUUUGUUCUCUUUUGCAUAUAUCGUUUCUCUCUAUACCAUGGGAAAUGAUAAUGAUAAUGAAAUUUGUGACAAUAGAGGUACACUCAGACUUGUCACAUGUGAUUUACAAUCAUCACGUUUAAAAACAUAGAAUAUUCACAUGACUAAAAAAACAAAGAAACAAACAACACAUUAAGAUAUGGGUGUAAACUUCAGUAUAGAAUAUUCACAUGACUAAAAAACAAAGAAACAAACAACACAUUAAGAAAUAUGUGUAAAGAUAGACCUUGUAGUGGUUGGACUUAAACUUCAAGAUUGCUGCUACUCAACAAUUAAACCAAGAGCAGCGACAGAAAUCCUAAACAUAACUCCAAUCAACAAGGAUUUCAGACCGAACAAACUGGACGUGGAUCGGAACCCCAUCGGCGACCUCAAAUGGACCUCAAAUCAGAAGCUUCGAACGGAUACCCCAUGAAAUCUCUUUUCGAAACCAGAAAAUUAAUUCAAGCAAAGAAAAUAAACAGAGACGAGAGGGUGGGGAUGCUACUACUCGUUGUUCUCAAAGGCGUUCAAGGUCCAAAAAUGGUGGAAUUUCGGCUGACUUUCAUGAACAAAAUGAAUUUCCCGUUUUUGUCUAACUUUGAGCUCAGAUCAUUUUUACUCAGCUGCUGCUUCUUUGGUUUUCGCUGGUUAGGGAUGGGGAGCUAUGAGGACGAUAACCUCAGCGGGGGUGGAGUCAUUUUUUUAUCUUCUGCUGCACUCCUCCUUUUUGCUCCCCUUGUUGCUUAGGUCUAAGUUCUAUUAUAUAGAUUUGAGUCUAGGGUUUUAGGAUUGGGUAAUGGGCUUGAGAAAAUUUGGAUCUUAAAAACUAGUUGGACAAUUUUAGAAAUUGGCCAAAUUUUAAAAUAAAC